rnacentral:rRNA from 1 species
UACGAAGGGGGCUAGCGUUGUUCGGAUUUACUGGGCGUAAAGCGCACGUAGGCGGAUCGAUCAGUCAGGGGUGAAAUCCCAGAGCUCAACUCUGGAACUGCCUUUGAUACUGUCGAUCUGGAGUAUGGAAGAGGUGAGUGGAAUUCCGAGUGUAGAGGUGAAAUUCGUAGAGAUCGGCAGGAACACCCAGGGGGAAACCAGUGGACUGGCACGGUGCUGACGCUCAGGUGCGAAAGGCGUGGGGAGCGAACCGG